rnacentral:lncRNA from 1 species
GUAUUGCUGGCACGCCAGCAGGUGAUUGAUUUUAGGCAGUCUUUGAUCAAAACUGCCAUCUGGUGUUUUGCUGUUUAAACCUUUUCGCCUGAUUUUUAUCACUUUAUAGUAAUCUGUUAAAAAUUACAAUCGAUAAAUUAUAGUCAAGGGUGAAUUGUAACGAUUCAGUCACGAUCAACUUUUGCCGAAAUGGGCUACCAAUAUUACCAAUCUUACCUGGUAUCCUAUACGUGAUACGUGUGCCUCAUACCAGUAGCUCUUGAAUUCACCACACGAAAAAGCUUGUCCAACAACCUGUAGAUCCGUUUACUCAGAAUUAAAUUUUUUUGCUAGUGUGAUGACAGUUCAUUAAAUUUUUGUAUCAACUUGGCAAGUCUAGAUCGUUCAAUUAAGGAUAUAGUUGCAUUCAGCAAGGAUGCAACCCUUAUGAGGUUUUCUGUUUGUUCUGCUGUUUUUGGUUGUUUUUUUUUCUUUUCGUUUAGUUUUUUGUUACAAUAACAUCGAAUCAGAUCCGCCGUUGCAUUCCAAAUAGUGUUCAUUUAUUAAAUUGGCCAGACGGUCUUCGGAAAUUGUAUGAAAGCCGAUUUUACAAGAAAAACGAGUCAAGGCGUCAGCAACGGAAUUGGUCCAUGAAAUUCACAGUAUAUAAGGCUUGUGUGAAAUUCUUAGUAUUGGAAGCACUUCUAAUGAUGGGAUGUGAGUCCUCCCUAUACAUCAUAGUUUAUGUAAGGGAUCCGCUAGUCCAAGAGUCUGAUAGCAAUUAUAGCUACGAACGGUCUAUGUCUGGUGAGCUGAUUCAGCCCUCUAGCAUAGACUCAGUAUGGGUACGCUAUCAGCUGAUGUCAUGAAGGCUAUGCCAUCAUGACAGUUCUGGAGGAAUUAGCAUGUCAUUGAAGUGCUUCCUUUUUUUUUUUUUUUAUCAAAUAAUUUUCUUGGUGUUGAAAUAUGGGCAGCAAGAUGUUGCGCGGAUGUGCUGACACCUUAAAAUUUAAGAAUGAAAAAUGAGUUUGAAAACGCCGUCAACGCUUACAAGCGUUUUUCCUCUCCCCGUAAGAGUUUAGGAAUGCUGAUGAGGGAUACGUCUGAAGAGUUUCUUCAGAAAUGGUUACAACAAAACUGAUUCCAUAACUUUAAAAAGCGGAAACUGAAAAUGACCUGAAGAGCUUGGAGGUGUUCGUAUAGUUGUUCUGGGGAAAUAGCUCCAACCAGGACUGAAUGAACAUGUUCAUUUUUCAGUGUCCACGCAAUAGCGAGUUGAGAUGAAGUACAGCCGAAGCGCUCGGCCAUCAGCGAAAUUUCCCGCAAUUUGCUGUUUUGACGCUGAACUUCUUCAGCCGACAUCCUCGGUACAUAGGCGUUCUAUUUUUCAAAUAAAUACGUACAGUGAAUCGUCAAAGGAAUGUUUGGCAGCAUUUUUAGUGUUUCUAAACUGAAAGGUUGCAUAACCUCACCUCUUUGGUAGCACCGGCUGCGUCGUCGUCGGGCCAAGUUACGGUAGAGAAUUUUUUCUGUUGAAUUCCAUGUUUAAAAUAAGAACUGAAGGUUGUCUGUCAUUGGCUAUACCUUAAAGGACAUGCGAUGAAAAUUUGGAAACGUCUCCUCGCCUUUAGAAACAUUGAAUCCCAUAGUUAGCGGAGACCACGUCAUCAGUCCGACACCUGACACAAACCGUCACAUCUUGAAUUUAAGUACUUUCCAGUGGUGAAGACAUUAUUAUCUUCCGUACAUUUUAAUUUUAAAAAAGAUUUGAAAUGCAAUAGAUAAACCUAAUUUAUUGUA